GGCCUACUUGCGGACUUUUAAUCCGAAGGUCGUGGGUUCGAGCCCCACAGGGGGUACCA
rnacentral:tRNA from 1 species